rnacentral:lncRNA from 1 species
AGUCACAAUUUACCCGUGAUACAUUGUGGUUUUGAUCCUCUCGAACACGUCCAUGUAUAGCUACAUCACAAAAUAACAUCAGACUUUUCGGGAGGGAAACAGUAGAUGGUGGUUGGAAGAGCCAGUUAAAUGGCAUCCCUUGAGAGGACAAGAACAAGAUGUAUGUCAGGAUGAAAAGUGCAGUAUUAUCACAAGGAAAGGUAUACUUGAAAUACGGGGGAGGAUUAGAGGGAAAAAGAGAGGAAGAUGAGGUCUAGGAGAGAGAAGGAGGAAAAGGGUGUUUGAGUCGGUUAGAAAUGGUGGACGGGAAAAAAAGAUGGUUUGUUUGUUAAAGAAGAAUGGUAGAAAGUGUAAGCAGAGUGAGCUGUACGCCGUAUAGAAGACAGGAGGAGAAAUGGAAGUGAAUGAGGGCGAAGUAUCGGAGGUGGUAGGUGCGAUAAAGUCAUCGGAGAUCGAUGUAUGCACCGAGGAUCAGGAUGAAGAAGAAUCUGUGACAGUAGGAGUGAAGUUUAUGGAGAAAGUGAACUCUUGCCUUUUGGCUGAUCCAUUUGUGGUUUCACGGUGGGUGGAAAAAAAAAAGUGUUGGGUCAUGUGGAAUCGGUGAGGGUAACUAGAAAUGGUCUAGUGAUAAUUGUUUGUGUUUCUGUUGGGCAGAGGAAGAAUACGCUUGAAGUAAAACGAAUGGGGGUAAGUAAAAUGAAUUGUUUCGUUCUCAAGAAAAAGGCACCAAUGAAAGGAGAUAUAACUGGGGUAGCAGUAGAUAUAAACGUUGACUAGCUUAGGGGAAAGACUCCCGGUGUAAGUGAUGCUCGGCGUUUGAUGUGACGCAGACAGGGUGGGGAAACAGAAGAGUCAGUCUGUUUUGAGUUUUGAAGCUGAGUCUGCCUGAUAACGUGAAGUUAGGAUAUAUAAGUUAUCCUGUACGAGCGUAUGUGCCGAAUAUGUUAAAAUGUUACAGGUGUCAAGCUUAUGGGCAUGUGGCAGCAGUGUGUAGGAGGGAGGGUCCAAGGUGUGAGAAAUGUGCAGAAGGGCACGAGACAAAGGAAUGUGUAGUAUUGGGGAAAGUAGUGGUAUGUGUUAAUUGUAGGGGUGCCCAUGGGGCUGGGGAUCAGAAAUGUCCCGUGCUAGAGAAGCAGGUUCAGGUUGAGGUUUCUGGAGUAGAGCAGAAGUCAUAUGCUGAGGCAGUGGAGAAAGUAGAGGAAGAUGGGUUAAGGGGGUGAGAGUAGUAGAGAUAUACCAGUACAGAGGGAUAGGCCAAAAAGUGAAAUAAGUUUCAGUAAGAUUGGAUUUAUAGCAAUGGUUAUUAAUUGUACUGCAGGAAUAGAUCAGAAGUCUCAGAAAAUGUAGGUUGUGGUGCAGAGGCAUUUGGGUGUGCAGGACUUGACAGCAGGAGAGUUACAGGAUGUGGUGAUGUCCCAUCAUUUUAGGGUGAUGGCAUGAGGUAGGAAUAAAUACAUUUAAUUAGUGGGGUUGGGAGGUGUUCAUUUUAUUUUAUAUCAUUUUGAAAUUAGUGAAUAUAGUGUUAGAUGGUAGGGUAUUUAUUUAGUACAUUUUUCUAUUUUAAGUAAAGUAUAAGGUCUAGUAGGUGGCAGUAAUGCAACAAAUUGGAUGCCAACCGCUGCCUUUUGCUACAAUCAUUAUUUAGUUUUCUAAGGACCCAUAAAACAGGCAGUGGGAGAAGCUAUUCAAGUGGUGAAAUGUCUGGAAGCAGGAGAUGGGAUCCUUAGCUUAAAACAUACACAACUACUACUACCAAGUCCAAUGCCAGAUACUUUUCUCCAAGAAGGUCUGAGUGGCACUGUGAUAAUGAAGAUGGUUUGACUAAGACUACCACAACAAUUACAUUGUCUAUGCAAAAUGUGUUUAAAUUGUUAAGAAAUAAAAUAGUUGGGCUAUAAGAAAUACUUUCUAUUCAAUGGGACUAGG